rnacentral:rRNA from 1 species
GACGGACGCUGGCGGCGUGCUUAACACAUGCAAGUCGAACGGAAAGGCCCUGCUUUUGUGGUGUGCUCGAGUGGCGAACGGGUGAGUAACACGUGAGUAACCUGCCCUUGACUUUGGUAUAACUUCAGGAAACUGUGGCUUAUACCGGAUAGGAGCUCCUUCUGCAUGGUGGGGGUUGGAAAGUUUCGGCGGUUGGGGAUGGACUCGCGGCUUAUUAGCUUGUUGGUGGGGUAGUGGCUUACCAAGGCUUUGACGGGUAGCCGGCCUGAGAGGGUGACCGGCAACAUUGGGACUGAGAUACGGCCAAGACUCCUACGGGAGGCAGAAGUGGGGAAUAUUGAAAAAUGGGCGGAAGCCUGAUGCAGCAACGCCGCGUGCGGGAUGACGGCCUUCGGGUUGUAAACCGCUUUCGCAUGUGACGAAGCGUGAGUGACGGUAAUGGGUAAAGAAGCACCGGCUAACUACGUG